rnacentral:rRNA from 1 species
UACGUAGGGGGCAAGCGUUGUCCGGAUUUAUUGGGCGUAAAGAGCGUGUAGGCGGCCUGACAGGUCUGCUGUGAAAACUCGAGGCUCAACCUCGAGAUGUCGGCGGAAACCGUCUGGCUAGAGUCCGGAAGAGGAGAGUGGAAUUCCAGGUGUAGCGGUGAAAUGCGUAGAUAUCUGGAGGAACACCGGUGGCGAAGGCGGCAUCCUGGGCCGGUAUUGACGCUGAGGAGCGAAAGCCAGGGGAGCAAACGGG